rnacentral:rRNA from 1 species
CCUACGGGUGGCAGCAGUGAGGAAUAUUGGUCAAUGGACGAGAGUCUGAACCAGCCAAGUAGCGUGAAGGAUGACUGCCCUAUGGGUUGUAAACUUCUUUUAUAUGGGAAUAAAAUGUUCCACGUGUGGGAUUUUGUAUGUACCAUAUGAAUAAGGAUCGGCUAACUCCGUGCCAGCAGCCGCGGUAAUACGGAGGAUCCGAGCGUUAUCCGGAUUUAUUGGGUUUAAAGGGAGCGUAGGUGGAUUGUUAAGUCAGUUGUGAAAGUUUGCGGCUCAACCGUAAAAUUGCAGUUGAGACUGGCAGUCUUGAGUACAGUAGAGGUGGGCGGAAUUCGUGGUGUAGCGGUGAAAUGCUUAGAUAUCACGAAGAACUCCGAUUGCGAAGGCAGUUCACUGGACUGCAACUGACACUGAGGCUCGAAAGUGUGGGUAUCAAACAGGAUUAGAUACCCGUGUAGUC